AUUUUUUCUCUUUUUUUCUAAUUAUUUUACGCUGUUUUAGCGUUGUCAGCCUGCUUAAAUUUUAGUUUUUUUUUUAUGAAAUGUUUCGCUAAAUUUGCUUUGAUUUUAUUGUGUAAAAAUAUUCUAAAAAUUCUAACAAUUAAACUCUAUUGUGUAAUAUGAAAAAAAAUAGUUAUUACUAGUAGCGUGUAGAACAAAUCUUAUGAAUAUUGAAAAUGUAUUCUUACAUUAAUUCACCUACUAAUUUAAUAAUUAUUUGUUGAGUUUUGAAUAAGUUGUUAAUAAAAAUUCUUCUUUUGUAGGUACUUUCGCUUAUUCAUUAAGUUGCUUGAUCUGUUGCUUCUAAUUUAACCUCCUCUAAGAUCAUCGAUCAACUGGUAACAAUAAAUAUGCUCAAUACUAUUUUUUUUCAUCAUUAUUUUAAUAUUAUAUUGUAGUGAAAAGGUAAAACAAGGUGUAUUGGAAAAAAAGAAGAAAAAAGUAUAAGAAAGCUCCGGUGUUGUUAACUCCCACCGCGAAGCGCGGGACAUUACACUAAUAUGAGACUAAUGUUUUUAACAAGAUCGACCACUCGUAAGCCAGAUCUAACCAUUUAUUUAUUGGUAAGAAGAGAUUCUUGGUUCAACCAGUCCAACAAAACUAGUUCAAUUUGCUUUAUAAAGCAUUGCUGAGGGCUUGGAUUAACUGUUGUGGUCGAUAAUGAAAGUGAUCUUUGUUUUCGUAAAAUUGUUGAAAUAUCAAAUUGAGUUAUUUGAAUCGCUCGAAUCUUCUGCUUUUUAUAUUCAAAAAGUGGUAAAUAAUAUAAAAUAACUAUUAUUCUCUAAAGGUUUAAGCCAGUAGAAAACAAUAUGUUAAAAAAUAAAGAAAUCUCAAAUCUUCUACUUUUAAUAUUCAAAAGUUGUUAAGUAAUAUGAAAUAACAGUUGUUCCCUAAAAAAAUUUUAGCUGGUAGGGAACAGUGUUUAUAUAUUUUUAUAUUUAGCACUCCUCCUCACACAUGAACUCGAGAUUUCUCGUUAGAUCUAUGAUGUAGAUUUGAAUUAAAUGAGAGAAAAUUAAUAAUGCUAGGCGUCUAACGUGAUUCGAACUCAGAAUCUUCUGUUAUGAUAUCAUAUUAAUAUUUACAAAACAAUCAUUAUUCUAUAAAAAUUAAAGUUGUAAGGAACGAUAUUUAAAUAUUUUCAUAUUUAACAACUUAUCCUCCAAACAAACUCAAAUAUCAUGUUAAAAAGUAUAUAGCCAACAGUCAAAAACGUUUGAAUUAUAAGAAACACUACAGAGUGAGAACUUGAAAAGCAGAACAUGUUAGAAAACAUACAUUCCUAUGCCCUCGAAAACGAAUCCACAGUCAAAAAGGUGAUGCUAUGCCUCUCAUAUCGUAAAUAAAUUUUUUUUAAAAAAAUUAUUGGCUAAAAAAAUAUAGGGCAUAUACCAUUCAACUAUAUAUAUUUGGCAUGAAUAUUAUAAUUUUACAUGUACAUAAUUAUGUAUAAACCAAGAAUAAACUGGAAAGUAUCAAAAUAUUCCCACAUAUUUCGAAUCAUUUAAGAUAUCACAACAUAUGAUGUUUGCCCACUCUUAAGUCUUAACUAGGGAAAAUGAAAUUUUUAGCAUUUUUUUUUUUAUGUUGAGGAUCAAAUCUCCGGCCUACAUUUAGGGAUGUAAUGUGAGUCGUGCCGGGUGCGCACAGCGCACAUUAUUCGGGCCAAAAUGGGCCUAAGUUUGGCCCGGUCCGGCCGGAUUCCGUAUUCGGACCAUGAAUUUUUGGACCGAUGUCUAGCACUGCCCUUAGGUCAGCACGGUACAGGCCGAGCCAUGGUGGACCGGGCCCAGGUUGGUCCAAUAAUUGUUUAAAAAAAUUUAAGUGAUAAUUUUUUUUUUAAGGGCUAGCCGAUGUGAGUUCGGAGAUGUGUAAUCGGUACAAAAACUGCAUCGUGCCGAUAUCUUGCUGGCACGUUAUAGUACGGUAGAUAUGAUCUGGGUCGAUAGAUAUUUAAAUCCUUAUGUUUUAGGCACAUUACUUCAGACGUUAUUAGCCAGAAUAAGAGAAAUAAUUAACUAGACCGAGUAAUGCUAUGAGGCCCAUUAGCACACUAGAGGGUUAAAAAAAAAAUAAUUUUUUUAUAAAUGAUCCUACCAAUUUUUACAAUUAUAAAAAUAGUCUUUUAAAAAAAUAAUUAUAAAAAUAAGACUCUAAUAUGCUAUAUUGAGUUUUUAAAAAAAUAAAUAAUAUAAGCAGAUGAAUGAAUCACCGUAUUUAAAUGCAGUGAAUCAUUACUGCUUUCAUAAUUUCUUUUAAAACCAACAAAGUUAUUUUAAAGGCGGUGAAACAAUUCACCGCCUUUAUUAUUUUCCUCUCUCUCCAUCUCUCUCUCUCUCUCAUUCUUUUAUAGUAUACUUUUUUAAAAGCGGCAAAUUAUUCAUCGCAUUUAAAAAAAUUUGAUGAAUGCGAUGAACCAUUUACUGCUUUCACGUUUUUUUUUCUCUCCCCAUCAUGCUAGCACAUAUAAGAGAAGACAAAAAUUAUAUUUACAAAUAAAAUUUUGACGGGUCUAAUUUGAGAAUAAAACUUUUGAAAAAGCCUAUUGUACUAAAAUCUUCCUAAAAAAAUUCCAAUAGCUAAUUUUUUUAUCACCACUAGUCAAGAUGAAAUUAAUUACGAUAUUUUAAAAAAGAUUGUAUUACGUGUUGGAAUCGACCGAUACGAAUUAUAUAACUCAAGAUCUGAAAUUAUAAAAUAAAAUAAUAUGAAAAAAGGAUAUUGAGGGAGAAAGAUAACUAAACUGAUACUUUAAAAAUAAAAAGUAUCUAAUUAUAUGAGGUCAACACCCUCAGCAUUAUGUAGUCAUAUCUACUAUGGCUGAUUCAUCUAAGUAACCCGUGCCGAAUUAUACAUAGCAAUGGAGUUAUAACAUAUGACAAAUCUAAUUUUUUUAUUUUGGAUAAUUACAAAUUAUAUUCUAAUUAGAUAAACAAUUAAAUAUAAUAAAUAUAUAAUUUGAAUAUAUUCUAUUUCUAUCUAAAUUUCGGAUUAAGUUUGAAUUAUUAUUUCUAAUAUUAUGGUCGAGCUUAAUUUAUGCUGAACCAAACAAUAAAAAUGCCCUUUAUUUUCUUUCGGCUUUAAAGUAACUGGGCGUUACUUUCUUGGGGUCAGAUCCAUUUCUUCUAUUGCAGUUGAAGGUGGACUGAAUUAGGUUUUGGGCCAGGGGCCCUUCCCAGCUAUUUCGCCUUUUGUGCUUGAGCAUUAAUUCAAGGGAAAACUUCAAAAACCCCCCUGUGGUUUUGUAGUUUCUCACUUUGCCCCCCUGUGGUUUAAAAUGUAUCAGAUUGUCCCCCUGUGGUUUCGUUUUUAUCUUUUCGGUAGCUUUUUCGUUAAUAUUUUAUUAAAUAAUAUACAAAAAACUUCAGAUACCCAUCUAGAUUUAUCAAAUAUUCACUUUAGUACCCUUUAAUUUUAACUUUAUUACUGAUUUAAAAAAAAUAAUAAUAAAAUUGAUAAGAAAAAGAGAAAAAAAGAAACCACAGGGGGGGCAAAUUGAUACAUUUUAAACCACAGGAGGGCAAAGUGAGAAACUACGAAACCACCGGGGGGGUUUUUGAAGUUUUCCCUUAAUUCAAAUUCGACAAGAGUACAAGGCUAAAAUAUAAAAUAUAGAAAAUGUCCUUAUAAAUAUUCACUUUUUCACUUUGUCUUCCUAACUUUUAAGAAUCAAUAUUUUAUUCUCUCAACAUUUCAAGUUGUUGUAUUUAACUACCGUCCGUCAGGAUUCCAUUAUUAUUCCGCCUAUUUUUUAUAAUUUAUAUCAAAAAUACUCUUAAAACUAAUAAAAAUUUAUUAAAAAUUUAUUUUUUCUUAUAGAAAAAGAAAGGGUAAUUUGGUCAUUUUGUCCUCUCUAUUAACGCUGUGAAUUUCUGAAAAUAUUUCUAAAAUUUUAAGGAGGCAAAAUAUCAUGGAGGAAAAGUAAAAAACGAGUAUUUACAGGUGAUUUACUAUAAUUUAGCCAAAAUAUAAUAAAAAAUUAUGAAAAAAUAGUUUAAAAAUUAAUUUAAAAAUAUGAAUAAAAGUUUGGCUAAUAAUGUGUUUAAAAUGUCUUACUAUCAAAAUGUGAAUUUUGGCGUCUUAGGAAACGGUAUGGAAAUAUAGAAAGAAUAAUUUAUUUAUAUGGCUGUAUGAAUGUAAUUACCACAUUAUACAUAAGGGGCUUUGUUUGUUUCUCCCAAGAUGACCUUUGAAAAAGAAAAAAUAAAAAAAUAGAAAAGAGACCUCCGAAUUUCAAAAUUGAUCCUUUAAUUUCUCUUUUUAUGAUUGAUAUGUUAUCUGUUUUUCACUUUUUUUGGAGUUGUUUUUACUAUAUUUGGUUCAAGUAUAAAUAAGAGUUGCUUAUUCCAGAAAUAUGUACAACUUCAGAUAUAUUUUCGGAAAGGCCAAUGAGUAGAGAUGGCUUCUGGUGCGUAUCGGAUUCUGUUCAUAGUGAUCCAAUAGCUCAUUUUCAAUGGUCUGACUAUCCUGGAACCAUUGACGCUGACGGAUUUUAGGUUUGACCCUCGGAUUUUGAGAAAACUGGUUAUACAUAUAUUUUAUGUAUUUGUGUGUGUUGUUUUGCCUAUUGGAGAGAUGAUGGGUUUCAUCGCAAAUCUGUAACCAAACUAGGUGAAAUAAAAUCGUGAAUUUAUUGUCUGUGUCAUGCUGAACGUACUGGUGUGAUCCGUUUACAAAUCUGACGGACGGAUCUCCUGAUAUCGCGCGUUGAUCGAGGAGUGGUCACUAAUGGCGAAAUAGAGAUUUUGUGAGAAGCCCUACAUUUUAUGUACCAUUUUACAUGAAAUCGAUUUUGGGGGUGUGUUCACGCGUUUUACUCGCGCUGUAAGGGGCUCAGUUUAAAAUAUCAAAUUUUGGAGGACUUUUGCGCAAAUUGGAGUUUUGUAUAUUUAGCCUUCUAGGUUUUGCACCAUGCAAACCCUAACCCUACCUCAACUCAGCUGACCUAGCCACCUCUUCCCUCCGCCCCCCACCUCGUGUGCCGCGUGCCUCCUGGCCGCUAUCGACCGUGCAACGGUUGACCACCACUUUUUCAGCCACAUUUUCUCCCUCUCUCUUUUUUUCUACCUUGUUCUCCACCCAUCCUUGAGCUCGAGCUAAGGGAGGGCCCGAACCUUCCUCCCUCGGCCUUUGGUGGUCACCCGCCGUCGAACCCGACCCUCCUUGGCCACCGCCACCACCAUUGUUGCCGUUGCUGCCACCUCAAGCUGAUCCAAGCCGAGAUGACCUUGCCACCUUUCCCACGCGCCGCCACAACUCGGAGCCGCACUGGUGACCUCCCUCGAGGCCCUCCGGUACCCCCGCAUUUGGCCGAAGUGGUCGCCGCCGCCACUGCACACUUAGGGCGCUGCCGUCGCGGUCCUCAAACUGAGCUAAGCUGCGGGCCACCUGAUCGAUUGUGACAGGUGGAUGCUUCGAGUUUGACUUGUUGCGCACCCAGGUUUCCGACGCGAUUGUCACAGGUGGAUGCUUCGAGUUUGUAGUCGGUAAGAUCGUUUCGCUUUCCUCUGUUCUUCUAUAUAAGUAUCGUAAUCUCUACAUGUCGGUUACUUUUGUUUAUCGUUCGUUCAUCUAUAUCUUAUUUCUUGUAUGAUGAUAGUUGUUGAUAGACAUGUAGAGUAGGCUUCCAUAUGUUGUAUAUCUGUGGAUCUUGGGUCCAGGCAACACAUCAACUCCUUUGUCGUGUGUUUCGAUCUAGUUGAUCGUGGUUCGGCGUUAUACGCCCUAACAUUUGGCUUGGGCCAAGGCACCGGUUUUCUACCAAUUUUCAUAUUGAGUAUAUCAGUAUGACUUAAUCACAGCACUGUAUAUUUUCGACACCGGUUGUUUUGGCCACCGACCAGGGAGUGUACGUAUCAGAUAGGUCGUCAAUGGACACAUGAAUCAAGUCAGUGUAUACUCUGUGACAGACAACGCUUUAUAUCAGUAUGAUUUAGAAUAUAAUGAAUAUCUCAGCAAGUUAGUGGGUUGCAUUAUAUAACUUAUUUAGUUAUUUAUAUCUCGGUUGCACCAUAUAAUUUAUUUAUGUAAUAGUAACAUGAUGAAAUGGACUCUUUGGUAAAUACUACAACUUUAAAUUUUAAAAAUUUAUAACUUAAAAUUUUAACGGACCAAACAAAUUUUUUUAAAAGAUGGAGAAAUAAAAUUCCAAACUGAAUAUUAUAUAGGAGAUUUUUUUUUUUUGUAUUUUAGCACUAUAUAAAAAAGCAUAACGAUACAUGCCAAAAUGACUCCAAGUCAAAAUUUUAAAAUACGCCAAAAUGACUCCAAGUCAAAAUUUUAAAAUGUUCUUGUGUUAAAUUAAUUUUUAAUUUGAGCCGUGUCUUUCGAGAACUCAAAUAUCUACCGGGCGCAAUAUUUUGUAUAUUUUAUACAUAAGAAGGGAGUACGUCUCCUACGCUUUUGAAAGUAUAGAGAUUUUCGUGUUUAUAAAUUAUUUUUGAUCAUAGAAAACUCAAAUUGACGAUCGGCUCCGCUAAAUAUGAUCUACGCUAUUAAAAUUAUUUAGAAACUAAAUUUUAUAAUUUUUCAACAUUAUUUACUAAGUGAUCAAAACAUUUAAAAAAUAAUUAUUCAAUGACCAAUGUGGCACGUUCGUAAAUUCAAUAGUAUAGAACAAUUCAAAUUACAUGAAACUUUCAUAAAAAUUUCUACUUAAUAUCAAAAAUAAGAUUAAUACUUUCAAUUCGAAAUUUGAGUGUUUAUCACUAUUUUUUAUAAAUUUUUAUUUUCAGUCAUUCAUUUUGACACUACUCUUUCACUAGACAAACAAAAUAAAAAAUUAUAAAAUAUAAUUUUUAAAUAAUUUUAAUAGUAUAAAUUAUAUCUAAUAAAAUCGAUCGUCAAAUUGAAUAUUUUAUUAUUAAAAAUAAUUUAUAAAUAAGAAGGUCUCUUUAUUUUUGGAAGCGUAGGAGUCUUCUAUAAAAAGACGUGAUGCAUGCUAUAAUAAGUUUAUUUGCAAAUUCUAAGCUUCGGACAAAAAAAAUUAAUUUAUACUCUUCUCCUCCGCUUGAACUUUAUUUGUUUAGUCACGUUAGAAUUUGGUUAGAUUUGUAGUUAAAUUCUAUUUGGAUAAGAAUUAAUAUUUAAAUCUGUUUGAGAUAAAUUAAGAUUUAAAUAUUAAUUAGAGAAUAAACCUAACUAGAUUAGGAUUAAUAUUUAAAUCUAUUAGAGAUUGAUUAAGAUAAAUUUAGAUAUUAAUUAAAGUAUGAAUCCUAAAUAUAUUAGGAUUGAGGUACGUUUUAAGUUGAGCAUUAUAAAUAAGCAUUGUGGCUCUCUUUUUUGAAUAGAGUACGGCUGGAACUAUUGGGGUGUCGUAUCAAAGAGAGAAAAAGAGAGAGAGUUAUUUUAGUGCACCUUACGCACGGAUGCACGUGGAGAGAUCUUCUUUGUGGAUUUUAUAGAAGACGAGAGAAGGGUAGAAGAGAUUCAAAAAGAGGGCUCGGGUUGUAGAUACUCUGUGCAGAAGAGGAGUCAGGUGUAAUCUUCUCUUAUUUAAUGAAUCUUAUUUUAUCUGCAUAUUUUUCUCUUUUAUGAUUGUAUCAGCUUUUGCUGAGAAGACGGGUUUAUGGUAAAAAUUCGAUUUGACGUUUUCGUUGCGGAAUCCCAACAAUCGGUACCGAAUCCACAGCAGUCGGUAUCGGAGCAGGUUGCGGAUUCACAAGAUCCGGUAUCGGGGCGAGUACCGGAUUC
rnacentral:lncRNA from 1 species